rnacentral:rRNA from 1 species
ACGCACGCUGGCGGCGUGCUUAACACAUGCCAGUCGAGCGGAAAGGCCCUUCGGGGUACUCGAGCGGCGAACGGGUGAGUAACACGUGAGUAACCUGCCCCAGACUUUGGGAUAACCCUCGGAAACGGGGGCUAAUACCGGAUACGACACAGCUUCGCAUGGGGUCUGUGUGGAAAGUUUUUCGGUUUGGGAUGGGCUCGCGGCCUAUCAGCUUGUUGGUGGGGUGAUGGCCUACCAAGGCGACGACGGGUAGCCGGCCUGAGAGGGCGACCGGCCACACUGGGACUGAGACACGGCCCAGACUCCUACGGGAGGCAGCAGUGGGGAAUAUUGCACAAUGGGCGGAAGCCUGAUGCAGCGACGCCGCGUGAGGGAUGACGGCCUUCGGGUUGUAAACCUCUUUCAGCAGGGACGAAGCGUAAGUGACGGUACCUGCAGAAGAAGCGCCGGCCAACUACGUG